rnacentral:rRNA from 1 species
AUACGGAGGGUGCAAGCGUUAAUCGGAAUUACUGGGCGUAAAGGGCGCGUAGGCGGUUAAAUCAGUCAGAUGUGAAAGCCCCGGGCUUAACCUGGGAAUGGCAUUUGAUACUGUUUAGCUAGAGUUUGAUAGAGGGGAGUGGAAUUUCCGGUGUAGCGGUGAAAUGCGUAGAUAUCGGAAGGAACAUCAGUGGCGAAGGCGACUUCCUGGAUCAAGACUGACGCUAAGGUGCGAAAGCUAGGGUAGCAAACGGAAUUAGAAACCCCGGUAGUCC